UAUGUAUUGUGCCAGCAGCCGCGGUAAUACGUAGGUGGCAAGCGUUGUCCGGAAUUAUUGGGCGUAAAGCGCGCGCAGGCGGCUUCCCAAGUCCCUCUUAAAAGUGCGGGGCUUAACCCCGUGAUGGGAAGGAAACUGGGAAGCUGGAGUAUCGGAGAGGAAAGUGGAAUUCCUAGUGUAGCGGUGAAAUGCGUAGAGAUUAGGAAGAACACCGGUGGCGAAGGCGACUUUCUGGACGAAAACUGACGCUGAGGCGCGAAAGCGUGGGGAGCAAACAGG
rnacentral:rRNA from 1 species